rnacentral:lncRNA from 1 species
UGGCCUUUAUAUAAAGAAAGGUCUGUAGAGGGGUGAACUGGAAAAUAGCACUUACCAAAGCUGCUAAAUUUUAUUUUGAAUUGGCAGAGUGCAGAUAAAACCAACAUCUUUGAACCGAGGGGAAGAUGACACAAAAAACCAGUCAUGGGGAAGCAGUGGCUGGUGGAUGGCAAAGGCAGAGACAUGCACGUGGAGGGAAAGCCCCUUAUUAUGUAAUGUCAGAGGAUUUUAGUCCCUCUGCUGUUUCCCCGUGGAAGACUUCUGCACAAAGUCCCGUUCUCCCAUCCUGGCCAGCACCCACCAGGGUGGUUGCCUCAACAUCUCUCUCUGUAUUUGUUGGGGACCCAAAAUUAGAAACUGGGCUUUUGGCUUCAGACUGGACUGCUGGAAGAGGGGCGGCACUUAUGAAAUCCCAGACCACGCAGAAAACUAGAAGCUUCCAAAAUCCCAGGAGAAAAGUAGAUGUAACAUCACCUUCAAUUAUGCUGAGCAUCUACAGCUCCCAUUGACACUGGACAGGACUUCAAAAGGUCAGUGUUGUCAUAUAACAGAGAUCAUAAUUUACUGAUUCCAAUGGCUACAGUGGUGAUCCUCAACUAGGGUGCUGUGGCAUCCUGGGGUGCCCUGACAUCCUUUCAAGGGUGCAGCAGGAUGCCAUACAAUAUUAGCACCAUUAGGUGUACAAACAUGAUUUACAAGAUAAACCCAGAGAUUUCAAAUAGGAAUCUACGGUGUUUGAACCAUUGUACUCUUUUGUGGCCUUUCUUAGUUCUUUGCAACAGAAGACUUGCUCUAUUAUUUUUCUGUAUUCAAAAAAAAUGAGUGAAAGAUAAAAGCUAACAUUUUCUGAGGGGUGCCUUAAAUCUAGCAAGUAUUGCCCUGAAUUUAAUGAUGGAUGCCUAGAGUCUAAAAGGGACUACAAUUAAAAUGAGAAGAAAAGUUACUCUAUGAAUGUUUCGCAUCUUCAAGUUACACUCGCUGAUUGACAGAGAAAACUGCUGGGACUGAAGAGCCAACACAGUCAUUAGACAAUGCAUUGGAUGCUACUUUGCUUUGUACAACAUCAUCAGGAUUAAUUGGCUUCUGUCUGCAAUACUAGCUGGGCUGCACUGCACAAGGGGCCAGACAGAAGUUCUGCAGUAAAGUCAAGGUAAACAUGGAUUAGCUUGGGAGAUCUUCUUAUUGUCCUUCUUCUGAUGAAGGUCUUUUUUGAACACAAUGAACUUGUAGUAUUAAAAUCAUUCAGUACCAUAGGCAUGCCUAUCUCUGACUAGCUCCAUGAAUCAUUCACCCUCACCACUGCAGGCCAGCAAAGGAGACUUCAGUUUACAAAAGUCAGUGUUGCCAUAUCACCAUAACUCACAGGGCAUGUCUGCAUACCCAUUUGUCUGUUGCCAGUGCAUUAUAGGGAGGGUUUCUCUCAAGCCCACCCUACCCAGCUCACAUGCACCAAACUCAGAAGUGUGAAACUGAGGCUGCUUCCUAGGCUACUUCUGUGACAGCUCUUGAGACCAGUGUCUGGUGUGCAUAAGAGUAAAAGUGUGGGGUACCCCAGGAGUGGCUUUACCACCAUGCUUGCUGGAUUGGCACGUGUGGGUAGGAGUCAAUGUGCUUGUGUUUUUACCUUCCCAGAAACACCAGAGUCAUCUUGCAGCAAACCCACAGGCUUUAAAGAUCGAAGGGACCAUAUAAUCUGGCCUCUUGAAUCACACAGACCAGAGGACCUUACCCAUCACAUUCCAGAUUAAGUCCCUAACUUUUGCUGGAGCUAUGGCAUAUCUUUUAAAAAGAAAGCUAGACUGAGUAAAGGACUUUUGAGUCAUGGAAAUGUCACCAGGUCCUAAACAAGUUCUUCUCAUGGUUAGUUAUCUCACUGCUAAACUUUUUUGCCUUAUUUCUAGUCUGAAUUUGUCUAGCUUCAGCUUCCAACCACUGAAUCUUAUUAUGCCUUUUCCUCAUGAUUUAGAGUCAUCUACUGUCAGAAAUCUCUUUCCUAUAUACUUGAAAAGCAUAAUCAAAUCACCUUUUAACCUGCUCCUAAAUAAAUUAGCCUACAUUCUGGAGUCUGACA